CCUACGGGCGGCAGCAGUGAGGAAUAUUGGUCAAUGGGCGCGAGCCUGAACCAGCCAAGCAGCGUGAAGGAUGACUGCCCUACGGGUUGUAAACUUCUUUUGUACAGGAAUAAAGUGAGGCACGUGUACCCUUUUGAAUGUAUUUUAUGAAUAAGGAUCGGCUAACUCCGUGCCAGCAGCCGCGGUAAUACGGAGGAUCCGAGCGUUAUCCGGAUUUAUUGGGUUUAAAGGGUGCGUAGAUGGUGGGUUAAGUUAGUUGUGAAAGUUUGCGGCUCAACCGUAAAAUUGCAAUUGAUACUGGCAGCCUUGAGUACAGUUGAGGUAGGCGGAAUUCGUGGUGUAGCGGUGAAAUGCUUAGAGAUCACGAAGAACACCGAUUGCGAAGGCAGCCUACUAAACUGCCACUGACAUUGAGGCACGAAAGUGUGGGUAUCAAACAGGAUUAGAUACCCGAGUAGUC
rnacentral:rRNA from 1 species